GGAGGCUCGGGUUCGAUUCCCGGUACGGG
rnacentral:sRNA from 1 species